AUUAGAUAAAAAACCAAUGCCCUUCGGGGCUUUAUGGUGAUUCAUAAUAACUUAACGAAUCGCAUGGCCUUGAGCCGGCGAUGGUUCAUUCAAAUUUCUGCCCUAUCAACUUUCGAUUGUAGGAUAGAGGCCUACAAUGGUUUCAACGGGUAACGGAGAAUUAGGGUUCGAUUCCGGAGAGGGAGUCUGAGAAACGGCUACCACAUCCAAGGAAGGCAGCAGGCGCGCAAAUUACCCAAUCCCGACACGGGGAGGUAGUGACAAUAAAUACUGAUACAGGGCUCUUUUGGGUCUUGUAAUUGGAAUGAGUACAAUUUAAAUCCCUUAACGAGGAACAAUUGGAGGGCAAGUCUGGUGCCAGCAGCCGCGGUAAUUCCAGCUCCAAUAGCGUAUAUUAAAGUUGUUGCAGUUAAAAAGCUCGUAGUUGAACCUUGGGUCUGGCUGGCCGGUCCGCCUCACCGCGUGCACUGGUCCGGCCGGACCUUUCCUCUUGGGGGAUCCGCAUGCCCUUUAAUUGGG
rnacentral:rRNA from 1 species